rnacentral:RNase_P_RNA from 1 species
AUUCAGAUGGUCGCGGGGGCAGAAUGCCCACGAGGAAAGUCCGAGCUUCACAGGGCAGGGUGCUGGGUAACUCCCAGUGGAGGCGACUCUAAGGAAAGUGCAACAGAAACAGACUGCCGCGCAAAGCGGCGAUGGUGGAAAGGUGAGGUAAGAGCUCACCAGCGCCUUGGUGACUUGGCGGCUGUGUAAACCCCAUUCGAAGCAACACCGUAUUGGCUCGUACUGGCUGAGCCGGCCCGGCAUGCCCGUACUUGGCGGUGGCUUGAACCGUAUAGCAAUAUGCGGUCUAGAUAGAUGAUCAUCAAAUACAAAACUCGGCUUACAGAAUUGCUC